AUUGAACGCUGGCGGCAUGCCUUACACAUGCAAGUCGAACGGCAUCGCGGGAAAGCUUGCUUUCCUGGCGGCGAGUGGCGAACGGGUGAGUAACACAUCGGAACGUACCGGCUAGUGGGGGAUAACCCGUCGAAAGACGGGCUAAUACCGCAUACGCUCUUCGGAGGAAAGCAGGGGACCUUUGGGCCUUGCGCUAGUCGAGCGGCCGAUGUCCGAUUAGCUAGUUGGUGGGGUAAAGGCCUACCAAGGCGACGAUCGGGAGCGGGUCUGAGAGGACGAUUCGCCACACUGGGACUGAGAAACGGCCCAGACUCCUACAGGAGGCAGCAGUGGGGACUCUUGGACAAUGGGGGCAACCCUGAUCCAGCAAUGCCGCGGGGGUGAAGAACGCCUUCUGGUUGUAAAGCCCUUUAGGCAGGGAAGAAAUCGGCGGGGCUAAUAACCCUGCUGGAUGACGGUACCUGCAGAAGAAGCACCGGCUAACUACGUG
rnacentral:rRNA from 1 species